AUCAUACUCCCUCCGUCCCAAAAUUCUUGUCUUAGAUUUGUGUAGAUACGGAUGAAUCUAAUACUAAAACGUGACUUGAUACAUCCGUAUCCAAGACAAGAAUUUUGAGACAGAGGGAGUACAUA
rfam:Triticum aestivum genome assembly, contig: Triticum_aestivum_CS42_TGACv1_scaffold_342927_4DL